UAAUUGGACUAAGGUAUGAGGAUUUAUCAUGGGACUUUGCCAAACCUAGUGUAAAUAAUGAUCCUGACUGCCAAACUUGCAUAUUUAUUCAAUUUGAUGCAAUGGAGAAUGGAAUUCAGGUUUCAAAGUUAAUGCAAAUAUUCUCCAAACAAGCUAGUAUGAUAGACGCCCUUAUCUCACAUUUUA